UUAGAAAUUUCCAUUUUGAAUUAUGUUACUUAGAGGAAGGACUAUUAAAGUGUUCUUUCUGCCCAUUUCUGAUACAUCUUAAAUUUUCCACAUUUUCUUCCUGGAUAUCUGUCAGGAGAUGGUAUAGAGGUUUGGUAAGUAAUACAGUUUGAUUUUGUGUGUCUCAAGAAUUUUUCAUUCAGUCAUGUAUUUGAGUUUAUUUUAUUCGGGCCUUUUUUUCCCCCUAGUGUUUCUAUUUGCAGUAUUUAUUGAAAAUCCUUGUGCUAAUGCUAAUUUUGAUCUUUUUUUCCACUAGCAUGUAUUGGAGCACUCAGGCUUGAAGAAGGACAUAGCUGCUAAGAUAGAUAAUGGUUAUUGCAAAGUACACGUUUUUAAAUGGUCUCCAUUGUGGAUUGCUUCUGAGCCGCUGAUGGAAUGAAUACAUUGAGAAGGAAUGUGUCACUUGGAAUCCAGGACCCAUUCAGCAAGGAUAACUGCCUGAUUAUAUGGUCAGAAUGCUCAAACUCUUAUGGCAUACUGAUGGCUUUCUCUUCCAUUUCCCCAAAGAGCAAGUUUUGUCAGUCUGAGUUCCCCUCAUCUAGCUACUCUCAUUUCCAUUCCCAAAGUAGUGACCUAGUUCUGUCAGGUGGGUCUCAAACAGAGGUGAAGUGUCAGUGAGUGUGUACAGCAAACCUGUUUAAUGAUUUAUAGGAACAAAUAAAAAGAAUUUUAUUUGCUAAUUACUUGAAGUAUAGAAAGUUUUGGUUUUCAAUUUAUGAUUUUGUGAAGUAUAAAGACAUUUCCUGGUUAAUUCCAGAUGAAUUAUUCAAUAUUUUUUCUCUCUUACUGUUAAUUUUAAUGCUAAUGUCUUAUAACCACAAAAGCGAUUGAAUGGAAUAACUCUUAUCUUUUAAAUUUGAAGCUUGUACUAAUGAUGAUCAGAUAAAUUUCACUUUUUUCUGCAAUUUUUAAAUAGUAUGUAAAUACAAUUCAUUUCAAAUUUAAUUAGCAAAGUGGAAAAUCAGAACAGUCUGCUAUAGUGUUCUUGGUUCCCUUUUUUUCUUUAUACAUUUAUAGUACAAACUAAAUCAUGGGUGAAGACUCAUAGUAAAUUCAUCAGUUUGUGUUUGGUCUUCAUGGUGAUUACAUCUUUUUUCGCUCAACAUUUAUUAAAGGAGCAUACAAAAUUUUAGGCUAUAGCAAACUAACUUCUUUAGCUUGACUAAGAGCUAGUUUUCAUUAAGGAACAGACUUGUAAUUCAUUUCCACAUACUUUAAGAUAUGACUCAUCCCUAUUAAAGUUGUGAGACUCAAAACUACGCCCAAAUCACUUAAUUUUAUGUCCUUCCCUGUUUACUGUGUCUGACCUUCAAGAUUUCGUGACUGAUGCUGAAAUGGAAGCCAGCCAAUGCAGAAAUAUGGGGGAAAUGAGAUCUGAAGAAUGCAAGGGGAAGUAGGAAUUCAUUUAUAGCAUUUCCAAACCUGCUUUGUCGUGUCUACUUCACUACAGUCAGAGGAAAAGAACUGAUUUCAUGGAAAUUACCAGCUAAACCUUACAUCUGUCUUUAAUGUUAUAAGGAAAUAAACUGAAAAGGUAAGUGAGAUGUCUGUUUUGAAGAAACACUCUGUUAGGUAUUUUAAAACCAGUUGUUCCAUGUUAGUAAAGAUGGGCAGCUUCUUUAUUCCUAGCUUUAAAAAGUCUUGACCACAUUUGGCAUGUUUCUCAGUAUUGUGGAGAAAGUGGUGGUUCCAACCAAGAUGGAGCUUUUCCUCCUACAUCUCAGCAGCUAAGCCAGAAAUUGUAUUGAAGUAUAUGAAGUGCCAAUUUUUGUUGUCCUGUUGUGCUCAAAUCCUUUCUAAAAAAACUUUGUUUCAGUUGAGUUUUAGUUUUAUCCCUCACUACAUAGAAAAAUUUUUAAUGCUUCAAAGUUCCUACUAGCACUACAUUUGCAUUAGAUGUAAUCAAAUAAGAGUAAAAUUAUAAGUUUUUAAUGGUCUUUUAACAUCCACCUAUAACGGUUUUGUAUAAUUCAAAAAUUGCUAGAAAUAAGUUAUUCUGCAUUUAUUACACACCUAUGUAAUAGGCAUAGUGGUAGGUCCUUUAAUACACAGAUAGACUAGCGUACAGUUCAUGUCCCGAAGGAGUUCAUUUUUAUUGAUACAAUAUAGAUAGAAUUCUAGUUUAGGGAAUCAAAAUUUAAUAAAGUCAUGCUAAUUCUAUUGCCCCAUCAACAAUCUAAUAACUAGCAUGCUUAUCUGAAUGACAUUGUAUAUGAAAGAACCUUGUGCAUACAAGUGCAUGUGUGUAAAAGUAACAUUUAUUGAAUACUUUGUAUGUGCCAGAACUAAGUGUUCUAAAUUCCUUUGCAUAUAUAUUUUUUAAUCAUCAUAACUAUCCUAUGAGGUAGGUUCCAUACUAUUAAAGCCUAUUAUCUAAGGAAGGUGGAGAAGUUAACUAAGUUGGUCUAAGUUUGCAUAACUGAUCUAGGACCACUGUUUGAACCCUAUACUCUUAAUUUGAGUGUGAUAUUUAUGUAUAGUACCUGGCUAUAAAUACUUAAAACAUUCCAAAUUCUUAGUAAAAUUUGCCAAGUUUAAAAAGAGUACCAAAGAUUAUAAUAGUAAUUAGGCUUUUUAUGAGACUGACACACGGUCUACUACACUAAGGAGACAACUAGGCUUUUUAGAGAGCCAAAAAUUUUCUUCCUUCAAUCUCUGCCUCUAAGGCAGUCAUUUUGCAUGAUGACCCUUUCCCCUCAAUACACAGACACAAAAUUUAAAGAACUGGAACAGAGAAAGCAGAGCUUAUCACAGUUUCAUUUUAUAUUUAGUACCUUGUCCCUCAGGUCCAACCCCUUUUUGCAGCAUGGACGUUUUCUUCAGCUGCUAAAUCAUAAAAUAUGCUGAGACUUUUCCUAGGAUUCUUAAAAAAAUAGAUUAGGCUUUGUGCAGAAGUACAGAGAGAAUGCUCAGAGAAUCCCAGGUAGGUAAUUUACUUCCUGUUGUAUGCAUAGUUUAUUUGAAACUUCUGCACGUCUAUCCCUUGUUGUUUUAUACUUUUGUAAAUCUGAUUUUUACCUUUAAUAAACUUUUCUGAAGUGA